GCCGCUUUCGCGGUAACAUGGGUUCUAUUUGCAAGAUGACACCAUGGCUGGUGGCAAUUUUUUGCCUGGUAACCGCUGGCUGCACAAACCCAAUGGAUCAGCAAACAUCCGAGACUACGCACGACCAACAAGUUGCUAUCCUCAAGCAGAUCAGAAAAGUUAACGACGACGGAUCUUACACUUUUGGUUACGAGGCUGGCGACGGUUCCUUCAAGGUCGAGAGUCGCGACGUUUUAGGAAACAUCAAGGGCACUUUCGGCUUCGUCGACGCCGAAGGAGAAAUCAAAAGGGUGUCAUACUCUUCGUCAAACGGGACCGGCUUCAAGGCCACCACCGUAUCGCCACUUCAAGAGCAGAUCUCGGUCGUCCAAAGCAUCCCGAGAUCCGAGGAAACUUCCACCACGAGAAAACCAAGCGUAGUGUACGCGACGGAAGCGAGCGCCAGAUCCUCGGUGGUCCAGUCCAUACCCAGGUUGAGAAAAACCACGACAACUUCGACCACCACGACGAGUACGACCACCACGACCGAGGCACCGUCCUCGAAACCUACCACUUACUACGGACACUUCAUAAAAUCGUCACAGACCAAAAGCAGACCUCGUUUCGGUAUUCACGCUCCACAUCAACGAGCUUCGCCACUCGUCGUCGAAGAGGAUCCACCGGAGGACGAGGACUCGCAGAUCAACAGUCCGGUGAGCGAGGAAAAAAAUCCAUCGACGUAUCGAAGGUUGAUUCAUGUGAAACGGCCCACCGAAUCCGAGCGUUCUCUGAGACCGAUAACCGAGGAAUUCGACGACAACGACGAACGCGUCAAGAUCACCACCGGAAAUACAUUGCGCCGUCAGUUGAACGAGGACACCACGAAAUCGGAAAGCGCUUCGGAGGCGGUCGACGAACACGCGGACGUUUACGGAGGCGCUCUGUCGAGUUCCCGGCCACUUUUUACCAGCAGCAUACCACCCAGAGUGAUCCAAAGGGUGGCGGGACUCCGCGUGGAGCGGCCAAAAACGAUCUACGUGAAUCAGGAUAAUUUGGGAGCCGCGAGAUUCGAACAAGGUCAAAAAUUCGAGAGUCACAGGGCGUACGAAGCGGACGCGAAGACUUCCCAAGAGGAAAGAAACGCCCAGGAACAGCAGAUACUCUUCAGGUCGACGCAACGCGGUCAAGUAUCCGGCGCUCAAUCCACUCGCGACUUCGCCAGACAGAGUCCCGAGCCGAUCUACGUGAGGGAGAAUUCGGACGGGCAGCAAUUCCUGAGGGAAGUGCCGCCCGAAGGAAUAAUCGUCGAGGCGAGACGCGCGGGCGACGACGAGGAUCCCUCGAAUUCCUUCAGACCGGUUCCUCUCGGGAGAAUCGUUUUUCGCCCCUUGCCGCGGGAGCAUCCCCUUUACCAGGCGGCCUCGGAAGUCGCCCAAAAUAGAUACCUCUCCGAGUCGACGGCUCCGGAACACCUGACCGCGCAACGCAAUCAGGUGAAUCCGAAUUACAUCAGAGCACAUCCGCCGAGGCCCGUACCUCGUCCGAUUCCCUACCCCGAAGACGACGCUCGGGGCGAUCAAGUGCUCGAUCACGUGAACCAACGAGUAACGGAAGAUACCGAUUAUCCGUCCGCUCAAGAUUACCCCUACGGAACGUCGAAUAUCGCGUUGCCACCGGAACCGGCGAACCCGAUCUCUCCACCUCUGAGCCGAAGAGAUUUCCAAAUACUUUUACGCCGUUUAUUAAUCAGCCAGUACGGCGCUAGGGCUCUCGCCUAUCCGCGAACUUACCUCGAAGACGCUCUUUACGAUCAGCAGUCGUAUCCGACUUAUCAAAACGAUUAUCAAACGCCGGCGCCCGUAAGGCAGAGCGUUCACAGAGGUGGGUAUGAUUCGUCGUUACCGGUUCAAUACGGAGAACGUUUGGCUAUGCAAUCGGCGCCUCUGAGACGUCCGGCUUAUUCGCGGACACUCAAUCCAAUUUACCAACAAAAUCGUUACGAGGAUUACCAGGAGCCCGCGGGUUACGCGAAACGUGUUUACAGGCAAAAGUUUUACCCUCAGGAACCGAGCGCUCCCGACAGCGAAGAAGUACUUCCACCGCCCGUGAGAGAAGCACUUCUUCUGCGAAUGCUGCAACUCGCCAUUAAUCCGGAUCGUCAUCUGAUGACACCGGCGAUCAUGAGCGCAACCGCUGCGACCGCCCCGGGAUCUUACAGAUACAGAAAAAUGGGGCCGGUCCGAAGUGUUCAGAUAAUCAGCGACGAAGCGGACGAAGAAAAGGAGAUUGUCGGAAAAAAGGUAUGACGGGGUGGGAAUCCUUCAAUGGGAUCUCGUGUACGCGUGAACUCAUCACCCCGAGGACAACGAUACAGAGAUGAUUUUUCUCAGCCCCGAAUCAUCCUUCGUUAAAGAGUUGAAGCGUAUUUUUUCGUUUUCUUUGGCCACCGUUCAUCUAUUGCUAAAUCUAUUCAUAUUUAUCGUAUAGUUCACGUGUAAUGACAAAAGAAAAUGUAACAUUUUUUUUUUUUUUUUACAACUCUGUAGUAAGUAGGUCUCACGGUAAAUUUACAUCAAACCAACAAUUAUUGACUCUGCAUUGGCAAUGACGAAUGAUAGAUAUGAUAAUAUCACUGAAUCUUUUUAAAAAGUAAUUGGUAAGAAUGUUAAUUAAUACAAUUACCGCUGAUACACUGUAAUAUAGGUAUAUAAGAGCGUUUCCUGCAUUCACAAUAACGAAAUCAGAUCCAUGUAAAUAAUACGUUGUGAAGCGUUAUGUAAACUAGCUCAUGUUUGAAAUAAAAAAA
rnacentral:misc_RNA from 1 species